UGUGCCUUAUUGCUGUGAAAAUACAGUGAGCAUGGUGAGAGGCCUUGGUCAUAUACCCUCUAUUCCUCCCUUCUCUCUCUCCCUUCUCUUCUAUUUUGUUUCUGUUGCAACCUUGUUCUGUGGAGUGGUCGACACCUACUACAACAGUGAUGUUAUUUACUGUUCUUGAAGUUGAAAU